CAACCCUCAAGCAAUGCUUGGUAUUGGGCUUCGCUACUCACUUAGCGGGCCUUAAAAUCAGUGGCGGUGCCGUCGGGGCUCUGAGCGUAGUAAAUAUCCUCGCUACAGAGACUUGGUGGACGCUGGCCAUCAACCCCCCUCUCUAA
rnacentral:misc_RNA from 1 species